rnacentral:rRNA from 1 species
AUUGAGCGCUGGCGGCAUGCCUAACACAUGCAAGUCGAACGGUAACGCAAGGAGCUUGCUCCUUGGCGACGAGUGGCGGACGGGUGAGUAAUGCUUAGGAAUCUGCCCAGUAGUGGGGGGACAACUCGGGGAAACUCGAGCUAAUACCGCAUACGCCCUAUGGGGGAAAGUGGAGGAUCUUCGGACUUCACGCUAUUGGAUGAGCCUAAGUCGGAUUAGCUUGUUGGUGAGGUAAAGGCUCACCAAGGCGACGAUCCGUAGCUGGUCUGAGAGGACGAUCAGCCACACUGGGACUGAGACACGGCCCAG